CAGCCGCGUAAUUCCAGCUCCAAUAGCGUAUAUUAAAGUUGUUGCAGUUAAAAAGCUCGUAGUUGAAUUUCGGGAUCAGUAUGUUGGUCGUGCUUCGGUACGUACUGUCAUUACUGGUUUCUACCUUCUGAAGAACCUUGAUGUCAUUAAUUUGGUGUCUUGGGGAAUCAGGACUGUUACUUUGAAAAAAUUAGAGUGUUUAAAGCAAGCAUACGCUUGAAUACAUUAGCAUGGAAUAAUGAAAUAGGACGUUUGAUUCUAUUUUGUUGGUUUCUAGGAUCGACGUAAUGAUUAAUAGGGAUAGUUGGGGGCAUUAGUAUUCAAUUGUCAGAGGUGAAAUUCUUGGAUUUAUUGAAGACUAACUACUGCGAAAGCAUUUGCCAAGGAUGUUUUCAUUAAUCAAGAACGAAAGUUAGGGGAUCGAAGACGAUCAGAUACCGUCGUAGUCUUAACCAUAAACUAUGCCGACUAGGGAUCGGAUGAUGUUAUUUUUAAUGACUCAUUCGGCGCCUUACG
rnacentral:misc_RNA from 1 species